UACGUAGGGUGCAAGCGUUAAUCGGAAUUACUGGGCGUAAAGCGUGCGCAGGCGGUCAUGCAAGACAGAUGUGAAAUCCCCGGGCUCAACCUGGGAACUGCAUUUGUGACUGCAUGGCUGGAGUGCGGCAGAGGGGGAUGGAAUUCCGCGUGUAGCAGUGAAAUGCGUAGAUAUGCGGAGGAACACCGAUGGCGAAGGCAGGUCUCUGGGCUGACACUGACGCUCAUGCACGAAAGCGUGGGGAGCAAACAGG
rnacentral:rRNA from 1 species